AUUGAAGUUUCCUUUAUAUCUUUCAAUCGACAAAGAAGUCCAUUUCAACUUGAAGCAGCAUGGAGAGUAGCGAUUUACAAAGUAGCGAAGGAAUCGAGGGUGGUGGACCAGUUAAUAUGUCGUACAUCAUAUGUGGCGAUCCGGGGCGACUUGUUUCAAAUGAUAAGACUGGUGAUAAUCAUUUAUCGUUGAUGCAUCAACAUCAUCAACGAGUAACGUGAUUAGUCCUUUUUGGAUUGUAGUAAAUGUGCUGCUCCAAAUUUGCUUCUUGGUACUUCAACUCUGAAACUUAUUCCAUGAGACAUGCCAUCAUUGUGAAUCUAACUCCAUGAAUAUUAUGGCAGACUUACCUUUAAAAUGUGGAAUCAUGCCCAAUAUGCCAAUCUCAGUUCUCAGUAUGCUGGGGUUAUUUCCUGCAGGAUGACUUAAUAAAGUAAGGAAUGCGUAAGAGGGAUCCUGGCGAAUUCGAGAAAAUAUUUCGCUUCCUGAAAUUCGAAUAUAUUUAAUAUAAAUUAUCUUUGUCAUUUUUGUACAGAUUGUAUCUGACCCUUUUGUUUGAUGGUAGCUAGAGGGGAAAAAAUACAAGUGAGUUGAUGUCAAA